AUAAAACAUAUAUAUACAGUGUAAAUGUAUAUAUAAUUAUAUAAUUAUUAUUUAUAUUUAAACCUUAUUGCAUCCAGCAGAGGGCACAAACACCUGCCAGAUCAUCUGGGUACUGAUGGCCUCUUUUGCCACAGAAAGAGGUGUUGCAGUCACUAAAGCAGGGAAUGGCUUUUAGCUUUUCAAACAAUUAAUGGAUUUUUAAUUUCUUUUUUUUUUUUCUUUCUCCUAGUUAACAUAAUAAUUCAUCUGCUUUUGUAAAGGUGGCCUUCUUGAUACUACUUCUGUCACUGGGCCAUGUCUUUCUGCAUGUAGAUUCUAUUAAACAAUGUGUGGCCAUAUAUCUAGAGAUAAUAAGAACUGCCACACUUAUCCAAGCUUACUAAAAUACAACCUAAGGGUGUCUAUUAAAAAGGCACUGGGGAAUUACACAGAAUGCUUUUCCUUUAUUAAUAGGAAAUAUUCAUUCAAUUCCACUGUGCACACAAACCAGCUCCAAUCUUCUAAAAGAGUCAAAUAUAGAAGUAUAUAUCUCAUCUGCAUGUCUAACAGUCAUAACAGGAAGUGUUACUAACAAUGCUGUGGUGUUCUUUGAGCCUAGAAAAUUCCUACAGCACUCAUUUUGUAGUACGUAUUCAGAAAGGUUUAUCUAGCUUUUCAAUGCAUUAGGAGAAAUAUCCUGAAAUACCUGCAGUGUAAGAAUAUGUAAUGGCUCACAAACCUUUGCAUUAGCAAUGUGGUUUUCAGAGGAGGAUGGAACAACUCUCUUUCAAUCUCCGAGCACAUCCAGGUUUUGUCUAUGUGAUCCAGCAUGCAGCUUCUGUUACUUAGCGUACCUUCUAUUUCCUUGCUGAUCAGUGGGAUCUCUUUACACAGAGAAAUGUGUAUAUCUUAGUGCUUGCCUGAAAAAAAUCAUACUGCAGUGUAACUCAAAGUACACUGCGGCACAUUCUCAUCCCUCUGGAGAGGGCAGACUGCAUGCUGAAGCACACAUGAGCUCUGCUGCAAGAAAAACAAUUGAUGAAAAUAAGGAAUGAUGCUUCAUCAACAAUUUGCAACACUUAAAACCAGCAAUCAGAUAUGUUGUGCAUUUGCAUUUCCUGUUGUCUUAAAAGCAUGUUUCAUUCUCUUUAACAGCGAUCUUGAUGUUAAUCUUUGUGUAAUGUGACAGCUAAUUAAAAAAAAAAAACAAAAACCAGCACUGUUUUAGGACAUAUAUCUGAAACAAUGUAAUAAACUGUUCUGUCUUUUUUUAAAGUAGUAUCUAUAACAUGUAUGUUCAUAAAUGGUCGGGGAAUUGUCUAUGUCUUUUAGUAUUGCUUUAUAAAAAUGUCACGCUUGCAGAUACCAUAGCAACCCCUGUCACGUGGUAGUUUUCCAAUUACUGAAGUAGCUUUAUCCCCAUACUCUGCAGCAAUACUUGCAUUAAUAUGUCUGCAAAGCAGUUUAGUAAAUACUGCAUCUUCAUCCAAAAUGGCAAACUAAAUGUGCCAGUGAUGAUCAUGCCUGGGGUAUCAGGCAAAAAGCUAGAAAAAUACUUUCCUCUAAUGACAGGCAUUAUGAAUCUCUGUAUCUUUAUCUUCUUGAUGGCUGUCAUAUGUGACAUUUAGGGGUUCAUGCAGCAUUCCUGCAAAUACUAUUAAUAUAAGUGUAUAGAGAUUUUAACUGUGUAGGGUUGAAAACUGAAUGUGCUUUAUGUGGUGAUGGAUGGGUGAGGAAAUUAAAUGCAGAUCCUUGACAUCCUCUGUCCAAAGCUGCAUAUGCUUUCAAGAAUUGAAACAAUCUGGGGACUGAUGGUCAAAAGCAUUGUGAACAUUACUUCUCUUGCUCUACUUUUUUUCCUGACACAGUGCAACAAUCUUUUACGUUAUUCUUACUUUUGUAUGAAAAUAAAAGAACAAUGAAGUUGGGACUGUUUCUGUUGAAUGGACAGUAACCAAUGUCAGAUGUGGAGAAAAUACAAUAAAAUAUUAACAUGGUUUUUCUACUUGUGUUUUAGGACUAAAGCCUUCAUUUCAAAUUUGAAUUUUACCUCAUAUGAGGACAGCUUCAUGUAUAGGAAAUUUCAAAAGUCUGGGAAUGAGAGGAAAUGCCUUUCAGCCAGAAAAACACAAUAUCAGUUUAUUGCAGCAGAUGGUUCAAACAGUGGAGCUGAAGAGUAAUUGGAUCAGCUGUAGUAAUUAUUUCACAUGUGACAGCACCUGCAAAUGGUGCUGAGUUAUAGCAUCAGGAAGUAGAAUGUACAUAAGCUGAAUGCAAAGAUCCCUUGACGUGUGGAGAAGUUCCUUCUGUCUCUGCCACCCAAAGAAUUACUGGUAAGUACAAC